CCUACGGGUGGCUGCAGUGGGGGAUAUUGCUCAAUGGGGGAAACUCUGAUGCAGCGACGCAGCGUGAGUGAAGAAGUAUUUCGGUAUGUAAAGCUCCUUUAGCAGGGAAGUAAAAAGACGGUACCUGACUAAGAAGCCUCGGCUAACUACGUGACAGCAGCCGCGGUAAUACGUAGGGGGCAAGCGUUAUCCGGAUUUACUGGGUGUAAAGGGAGCGUAGACGGCAAUACAAGUCGGAAGUGAAAGACCCGGGCUCAACCUGGGAACUGCUUUUGAAACUGUAUGGCUAGAGUGCUGGAGAGGUAAGCGGAAUUCCUAGUGUAGCGGUGAAAUGCUUAGAUAUUAGGAAGAACACCAGUGGCGAAGGCGGCUUACUGGACAGUAACUGACGUUGAGGCUCGAAAGCGUGGGUAGCAAACAGGAUUAGAUACCCUUGUAGUC
rnacentral:rRNA from 1 species